rnacentral:lncRNA from 1 species
CAGGUAGCUGGGGCCAGUAAUUUUCUCCAGCCUGUGCUGCAAAAUUUACCUGAGCUCAUUUGUCAAGCUUUGAAUCCUUAAAUCCAUAACUCCAAUUAAUUAGGAAUCUCUAAUUACCCCAAAAUGGCACUCUGUAUUUAAGGCUAAGGUGUGGUGAAAUCCAGAGAAAGAAAACAUUAGAGAAGCUGGAGGAUAUUUAGAGCUGGAGAUGCUGGAAAAUGUGCAUUUUCAGAGCUCAGGGUACACAUAGGUGCAAAGGAAGCCCUGUGGCUCUACAUGUCAGUGGGACUGGAAGCAGGUCCUGAGCUGGUAGAAGCCACUGUCUGAUAUUCAGACAUCCAUCCUUGGGUGUCUCACAAGUUCCCUUUUUUCAGUAAGUAAUGACACCAAACCUCCCAGCAGGAGGUUCCUGCACCAGAGAUGUAUAACAAAGCAACCUUUAGGACUUAAGCCCAACUGUAUUUUCUGUUCCAGAAGCAGACUGGAUGAGGCUCUAGCUCUAUACAACUUUAAACCAGAAACCCCAAGGGGGAUGUUAUUGAAAACAACGGUGCAGACAGGUUCUGGCCCUGCCCUUGUAAGAGGAAAAAGCCCUUUCACAGUUGAGGUCUUAUUAUAUUAAGUUAAAAAUGUAUAGCUUUUAACUAGGUUGUAACCAGUUAAUGUGAUUCAGGAAAGGCUGUAAGGUGGAUAGAAGCUUUCCCUCUUUGCCUUGCUGCACAGGUUACUGUUUUUCCAGACCUCACAUGUGAGACCAGUUAACACAGGCUCAGCAAUUAGGCUGUGAAGUCACCUGAUUAAGUGAGGGGCAACAGCAGGUUUUGGGGCUGAUUGACUUCAGUAGGGCUGCAGCUAACAGCCUGAAACGCUACUUUCCCAGUUCUGCUGGGCUCCUUCUCUUGGACAAACCAGCACCAGCUUUUCAGCAAAGCUCUGAGUGGCAGCUCUUACUGCCUGGGAACAGACUCAUGUGGCCCAGUCAGGAGGAUGACAGCUCUGCACCACCGCAGGGAGUUCCUCUGGGGCCCAGUCCGAAGCACCGGUCUGGCAGCUGCGACGUACCAAUGCUUCCUGCUCCCACAAAUAAAACUCCCACAGAUGAAAGCUCAUCUCACGUAAAAGAACUGCUGAAAAACUGUUUCUAUGGACAUGAAAUCUGACAUGAUGAUAAUCUGAAGCUGCUCACUCCCCAAGGAUGACAAAACUCCAGAAACUUCAAAGCAAAGAAGGAAUUGCCAGAGGGGAAAUUGUGAUUAAAAUUAGAUAACCUGUAUGAAAAGCAUCCAAUUUGUAGUCUAUAAAAGCAUUUUAGAACCGCAGCUCUUCAGCCCCAGGACCAUAGCUGUAAUAAUUAUCUCAGGACUUUCACGUAUUAAUUUGUCAAUGACUCAGUUUGUAGCAGUAAGGAAAAGAUUCUAAGCAGGGAAUACAAACAUGGAAACUGCAUUUCUAUUUUUAAGUAAACACACUGUUAAAGUCAAAGCUUUGGUUCCUGUGGAAGUGCCUGGAAUGGAACUGAAGAUUAUACAGAGUGCUUCUGGUUUGAGUGUCUGUGAGAUGUCAAGAGACAAAGAGAAACCUUGAACUCAGAUGAGAAUUUCUUCUUGUUUCCACACUUCCCGGCAGAGUUUUUCAUCCACCCCCUGGUUUGCAGCAGCUCAUCCAUUGAGCUGGCGCUCC